CUAUAGUUUCCAUAUAACACUUCGCAACACAAUUUUUUUUUUUUUUUUUUAAAUCGUUUUUGAGCAGUUUCACGUAUAAUGCUUCGCAGGAAAUUCUGAAGCACUCAACAAGUCGAUCGUUAGUGCUAUUAGAUGAAGUAGGUGCUGGGACAAAUCCCCUUGAAGGAGCUGCACUGGGGAUGUCACUACUGGAAUCUUUUGCUGAAUCUGGUCCUUUAUUGACCAUAGCCACAACACAUCAUGGCGAACUCAAAACCCUCAAAUACAGUAAUGACGCAUUUGAGAAUGCUUGUAUGGAGUUUGACGAAGUGAAAUUAAAGCCAACUUAUAGGAUUCUCUGGGGGGUACCAGGUUUGUGCUGUACUCUUGGACUCACAAAUAAAUUUUUGGUGUUGUACUACUAGAUGGUUGGAAUGAUCUUUGUAAACAUCCAAUGUUUUCAUUUUUCUGCUGCAAUUGAUUACAUGUGUGAACCUUCUAAUUCUACAAUUUGGGUUUUAUGUAGCCCAAAGAUUUGGAUGCCUCAUCCUUUGUCAUCAUUAUA